rnacentral:lncRNA from 1 species
CCCCAGCCCCUUUUUAUAUUUUAUUUAGAGACAGGAUCUCACUGAGCUGCUUAGGGCCUCACUAAGUUGCUGAGGCUGGCUUUGAACUCAUGAACCUCCUGCCUCAGCCUCCCAAGCAGCUGGGAUUACAGGUGUGCACCACCUCACCUGGCUGUGCUUUCGUUUUUUUACUGAACAAGAACAACAAAAAUGGAGCCAACAGCACCUACAUCAUUAUGUUAUUAGGAGGAUUUAAAAAGUCUAAUAGUGCCCCUACAAAGUACUUGAACAAUGUCUGUAGAACCCUAGAGAUACACCUUUAUACAUUGAAAUCUUUUUAACACAUAACUCCGUUCUUUGGCUUGAGGUCCUCCUAAUGCUUUUCCUGAUCCUCAAAAUAAAAUCCCAAGCCCUCUCGGGGGCCAGCAAAGCCCUGCACAACCUGACACUUGUCCAUCUGCCCAGGUUCAUCUCUUACCAGCCCACUCCUCUUCCAUCUCUCCUGUUGCUAAGCUCAUUCUUGCCUCAAAUCUUG